rnacentral:misc_RNA from 1 species
UAAAGGAUCUAACAUUCUCUCUACUU